rnacentral:rRNA from 1 species
UUUCAGCACUAAUUUUUUUACACCCAAAGAUUAUAAGUUAUGUACUUUAAACUUAAAGGACUUGGCGGUUAUUUGGCCCAGUAAGAGGAACCUGUUUGGUAAACGAUAAACCACGAAAUAUCUUACCUGCCCUAAAAGCUUGUAUACCGUCAUUAUUAGGUUACUCUUAUAGGAAAAGUUACUUCAAUAAAUAAAUGUUUUAUUUAAUAUAUUAGAUCAAGGUGCAGCCCAUGGGCAGGAUAAAAUGGGUUACAAUAAAACUUAUUUACCACGGAAAAAAAAUUUAAACAUUUUUUUUGAAGGAGGAUUUUAUAGUAAGGGAUAUUUUAACAAGUUAACCUGAUAGAGGAUCCAAAUUGAGUACAUAUCGCCCGUCGCUUCCAUCUACAAAUGGAAUAAGUCGUAACAUAG